GGAAUAUAAUAAGCUGACUCUUAAUUUUUAACUAAAAAAACUAAGAACCGGCUCUUAAAUAAGAGUUUUAAGAGACGGUUCUUAACUUUUUUAGUUAAAAUUUAAGAGACGGGUUCUUAUAUUCC
rfam:Brassica napus, WGS project CCCW01000000 data, contig: 6438